rnacentral:tRNA from 1 species
GCCGGGAUAGUGUAGCGGUCUAGCACGCGAGCCUGUCGCGCUUGCAACCCGGGUUCAAAUCCCGGUCCCGGCG